rnacentral:rRNA from 1 species
GAUGAACGCUGGCGGCGCGCCUAACACAUGCAAGUCGAACGAUUAAAGCACCUUCGGGUGUGUAUAAAGUGGCGAACGGCUGAGUAACACGUGGGCAACCUGCCCCUUUCAUUGGGAUAGCCACGGGAAACCGUGGAUAAUACCGAAUACUUCGAGACUUCCGCAUGGAAGACUCGAGAAAGCUCCGGCGGGGAGGGAUGGGCCCGCGGCCUGUUAGCUUGUUGGUGGGGUAACGGCCUACCAAGGCAAUGAUGGGUAGCUGGGUUGAGAGACCGACCAGCCAGAUUGGGACUGAGACACGGCCCAGACUCCUACGGGAGGCAGCAGUGGGGAAUCUUGCACAAUGGGCGAAAGCCUGAUGCAGCGACGCCGCGUGCGGGAUGAAGGCCUUCGGGUUGUAAACCGCUUCCAGCAGGGACGAGGCGAAAGUGACGGUACCUGCAGAAGAAGCCCCGGCUAACUACGUG